rnacentral:rRNA from 1 species
GUAAGGAAUAUUGGACAAUGGACGCAAGUCUGAUCCAGCCAUGCCGCGUGGAGGAUUAAGGUCCUCUGGAUUGUAAACUUCUUUUAUAAGGGACGAAAAAAGGCUUUUCUAAGUCGUCUGACGGUACCUUAUGAAUAAGCACCGGCUAACUCCGUGCCAGCAGCCGCGGUAAUACGGAGGGUGCAAGCGUUAUCCGGAUUCACUGGGUUUAAAGGGUGCGUAGGCGGGCAGGUAAGUCAGUGGUGAAAUCCUAGAGCUUAACUCUAGAACUGCCAUUGAUACUAUCUGUCUUGAAUAUUGUGGAGGUAAGCGGAAUAUGUCAUGUAGCGGAGAAAUGCUUAGAUAUGACAUAGAACACCUAUUGCGAAGGCAGCUUACUACGCAUAUAUUGACGCUGAGGCACGAAAGCGUGGGGAUCAAACAGGAUUAGAAACCCUUGUAGUCC